UCUUUCUUUCUUUCUCUCUCUCUUUCCUUCUCUCGAGAGGCGGGAGUAGCCCGAGGGCCGGCUAAUGGCGGCGCCUGCUGCAGCCAGGGGGCGGGGCUACCUGCGUCAGACACUUUGGAGACAUCUGCCUUGCUACUGCCAUGCAGCUCCAGUGAUGGAACCUGGAGUGCAGACAUGAAACCAGGGUUUAUCAUCGUCCUGCUGUGAUCCCAGAGCCUGUCUCCUCUUGUGCACCUGUUCCUACCAACAUGCUGUAGGAGGAACACAGUGGCUUUGGAGCACCAUGCAGAACAUGUGCAGGCAGCUCCUUACUGGUGAAGAAAGCUUCUACAUACCAGUAAGACCUUCCUUCCAUCCAAAGCACCAUUCUGCAGUG